rnacentral:lncRNA from 1 species
AUGGUUCUGGGCAUGGAAGACCCACCUGAGGACUGUUGCCAAUGGCAUAAAAGGAGACCUAAAGGGGAAGAUCGUAUGCUGUUGAUUUUCUUGGAGAAGCUUGUUGUGGUUGGUUUUCCUGGCGCGAACUCAGCUGUUCUCAUCAGAGGAGCACGGGUCUUCCCUGUCACCGAGGAUGGCUGCUGUUCUCUUCAGGGGAGCUCUGGUCUAUGCCUUGAGCGUUGCUUCCUGGCUCCAGUGCAGAGCCCUCAGCCUGGUGGCACAGAUCCAGCAUUAUAGACAACCAGUUGAUCUAUAUGGACAGAGGUGCAUUUGAAUCUUAGUAGUGGACACAGCUUUGCUCAAACAAGUGUACGUAUUUAUAUAUAGUUAUUUGUACUUUUACUAUACUUCUAGAUCAUUUUAUUAUAUCAGAUGCAGUGUGUCCACACCUGUCUCCACUGAUCGUUCUUUUAAAUAC